AGCUGCAGGGACGCGGGCGACGAGUGCGAGCGGACAUGCUGGGCACCCCCAGCCAGUCGAGGCCCCGGGUGGCCGCCCGACGAGUCGGUGCUGGACUGGCGCGAGUGCGAGCCCGAAUCAGGCUCCUUAAAGAAAGACUCCGGCAGGAUCUUCUUCCGCCACGAGCUAGGCUUCGGAUUCAUGACAGAGUUGAAGAGGGCUUCGAGGUCUGUGUCUAGGUCCUGCGUGACGUGGAUCACUUGCUGCCCAGGCGGCGGGAGCGGAGGGGGCGCCGAGGCCGGAUUCAUCUUCUGCAAAAAGAAGGACAGGCAGCCCCCCGAAAGAAGUUCAGCCCGAGCCAACUCCACCACGUCUCGACUCCGGAAGCCCGAGGAGCCUGGAGCCCUGGAGUGGUGCCGGAUGAGCGCGCGAGCUCCAGCGGGCACUACCUGGGCGGGCAGCGAAGCUGAGCCUGAGCGCGCGGCGGCCGCCGUCCCGCCCGAACUUGCCGUCGGGCCUGGGUCGCUCGGGUGAGUCCCGAGAUUGCGGAGCUGGAGCCGAGGCUUGGCUGACAAAUCCCGACCCGACUCUGUGCCUGGCAGUCUAAGGGCUUCGGCUCUCACAUCCCCCGAGCUGGCCUAAGGCGCUAGUGCUGGGCGAAAAGGAGGCGCAGGAGAAGCAGACAGCGCGGCCGCAGCAGCUCCCGGACUGUCCCAUAAACAAAGUUUGGAGCAAACUCCCACCCCCAGGAAAGAGGCGGGCCCGAAAGUUGAGCUGUUGAAUUAUGUAUGACCUCCUAGUCCCUAGCCGGCCAGCCCCCGCUCGCCCCUCCUCUUCCUCCUCCUCCUCCUCCCACCUCGGCUCCAGAAAACCCUGGGCGUGAUGGGUACUUUACUGGGUAAGAGGAGACGGGUGCCCCCCACCCACUCCUCCCGGCCGCGCGGACCUCUCCCGCUCAGACCUGCAUCUGCAUUCCUUUGAGUUUACCACGGACUU
rnacentral:lncRNA from 1 species